GACGAACGCUGGCGGCGUGCUUAACACAUGCAAGUCGAACGGAAAGGCCCUGCUUUUGUGGGGUGCUCGAGUGGCGAACGGGGGAGUAACACGUGUGUAACCUGCCCUUGACUUUGGGAUAACUUCAGGAAACUGGGGCUAAUAUCGGAUAGGAGCUACUGCUGCAUGGGGGGGGUUGGAAAGUUUCGGCGUUGGGGGAUGGACUCGCGGCUUAUCAGCUACUUGGUGGGGUAGUGGCUUACCAAGCGUUCGACGGGUAGCCGGCCUGAGAGCGUGACCAGCCACAUGGGGACUGAGGUACGGACCAGACGCGUACGGGAGGCAGUAGUGGGGAGUAUGGCACAACGGGCGGAAGUCUGAUGUGGCAACCCCGCGUGCGGAAUGACGGCCUUCGGGUUGUAAACCGCUGUCGCAUGUGACGAAGCGUUAGUGACGGUAAUUGGUAAAGAAGCACCGGCUAACUACGUG
rnacentral:rRNA from 1 species